AUUGAACGCUGGCGGCAUGCCUUACACAUGCAAGUCGAACGGCAGCACGGGAGCAAUCCUGGUGGCGAGUGGCGAACGGGUGAGUAAUAUAUCGGAACGUGCCCGGUCGUGGGGGAUAACGUAGCGAAAGCUACGCUAAUACCGCAUACGAUCUACGGAUGAAAGCGGGGGAUCGCAAGACCUCGCGCGAUUGGAGCGGCCGAUAUCAGAUUAGGUAGUUGGUGAGGUAAAGGCUCACCAAGCCGACGAUCUGUAGCUGGUCUGAGAGGACGACCAGCCACACUGGGACUGAGACACGGCCCAGACUCCUACGGGAGGCAGCAGUGGGAAUUUUGGACAAUGGGCGCAAGCCUGAUCCAGCAAUGCCGCGUGCAGGA
rnacentral:rRNA from 1 species